GACGAACGCUGGCGGCGUGCUUAACACAUGCAAGUCGAACGGAAAGGCCCUGCUUUUGUGGGGUGCUCGAGUGGCGAACGGGUGAGUAACACGUGAGUAACCUGCCCUUGACUUUGGGAUAACUUCAGGAAACUGGGGCUAAUACCGGAUAGGAGCUCCUGCUGCAUGGUGGGGGUUGGAAAGUUUCGGCGGUUGGGGAUGGACUCGCGGCUUAUCAGCUUGUUGGUGGGGUAGUGGCUUACCAAGGCUUUGACGGGUAGCCGGCCUGGGAGGGUGACCGGCCACAUUGGGACUGAGAUACGGCCCAGACUCCUACGGGAGGCAGCAGUGGGGAAUAUUGCACAAUGGGCGGAAGCCUGAUGCAGCAACGCCGCGUGCGGGAUGACGGCCUUCGGGUUGUAAACCGCUUUCGCCUGUGACGAAGCGUGAGUGACGGUAAUGGGUAAAGAAGCACCGGCUAACUAGGUG
rnacentral:rRNA from 1 species